AUUGAACGCUGGCGGCGUGCUUAACACAUGCAAGUCGAUCGGUAACAGGUGUAGCAAUACAUGCUGACGAGAGGCGGACGGGUGAGUAAUGCUUGGGAAUCUGCCUAUUAGUGGGGGACAACCCGGGGAAACUCGGGCUAAUACCGCAUACGCUCUACGGAGGAAAGCCGGGGACCGCAAGGCCUGGCGCUAAUAGAUGAGCCCAAGUCGGAUUAGCUAGUUGGUAGGGUAACGGCCUACCAAGGCGACAAUCCGUAGCUGGUCUGCGAGGACGACCAGCCACACCGGAACUGAGACACGGUCCGGACUCCUACGGGAGACAGCAGUGGGGAAUCUUGCGCAAUGGGCGAAAGCCUGACGCAGCGACGCCGCGUGAGGGAUGACGGCCU
rnacentral:rRNA from 1 species